rnacentral:lncRNA from 1 species
UUUGUUACAUGCAAAGUGGAAAUAUGGUUAAACUUAUGAAGUUUGUUUAUGUCAUGACUCUAUUUCUUUCCCUUUUUCUUGUUGCAGCUAACAUUGACGGUAACCCAUCUCUUUCUUGUUAAAUUUUCUUCUUAUAUUUUAAUAUAAUCUUAUAUUCCUUUUAAUUAGUAACAUUUUUAUGUUUUGUUUUGUUUCAUUACAGUAAUUUAUGACUGUGAUAAAGACUCCCAAUGUGUAAACAAAGUUAAGUGUAAGGCUAAACUAAUUCCGGUUUGUAGAAACCACAAAUGUAUUUGUGAUCCUCAUCUUGGUCCACGAAUUUGGAGUGCAAGAUCGUAGAGAGUCCACGAAUUUCCUAUAUGGUAGAAUGAUUUCUUGAACUA